CUGGGUUCAAGCGAUCCUCCCGCCUCGGCCUCCUAAAGUGCUGGGAUUACAGGUGUGAGCCACCGAGCCGGCCUAACACCACUGUGAUAGAGCCCUUCUGCUGCGCCUAACAAGAAAAAGGUGUGAGGAAUCAGGUAGAGGAUGGUAGCUCGGAAGAAACAGAGCCUGACCUCACCUGGCCAGAUAUCCAAUCUUCAUUGCCCCAAACCACUGGACCCUUGAAAAACCUUUGCCUCAUCUUUAAUCUGUGGGAACUGAUUGGCUGGAGAAGAGAAUGUCUGAUACGGAAGCCUUACCUGACUGUGCAAGGGCAUCAAUAAAGGCAAAAA
rnacentral:lncRNA from 1 species